rnacentral:rRNA from 1 species
AUGAAGUCGGAAUUGCUAGUAAUCGCGGAUCAGCAUGCCGCGGUGAAUACGUUCUCGGGCCUUAUACACACCGCCCGUCACACCAUGGGAGUCGGUAACACCCGAAGUCUGUAGCCUGACGCAAGAGGGCGCAGCCGAAGGUGGGAUUGAUGACUGGGGUGAAGUCGUAACAAGGUACC